AGACCAGUAUGAAUGGCAAGACGAAAGUUCAACUGUCUCCCUAAAUUAAUCAAUGAAAUUGAUUUUUCCGUGCAGAAGCGGAAAUAUAAUUAUAAGACGAGAAGACCCUAUGGAGCUUUAAACAUAUGAUCAAUUGCAUAACAUAAAAUCCAAAAGAUAAAAUAUUUAAUAAAACAAUAUGAUCAAAAUUUUAGGUUGGGGCGACCACGGAGAAAAACAAAACCUCCGAGAUGAAAAGAAUAUCUUAAUUCAAGAACUACAAUUCUAAAAAAUAAAAUAUUUAACAUAAUUGAUCCAAUACUUUGAUCAACGAACCAAGUUACCCUAGGGAUAACAGCGCAAUCCUCUCCAAGAGUCCCUAUCGACGAGCGGGUUUACGACCUCGAUGUUGGAUCAGGACAUCCCAAUGGUGCAGCCGCUAUUAAAGGUUCGUUUGUUCAACGAUUAAAGUCCUACGUGAUC
rnacentral:rRNA from 1 species